UUUCUUCAAAAUACUCUUAUUUACAAAUAACCUCCAAAUCGCGGAGCUCAUAUUAAAAAAAGAAAAUCGCAAAAAAAAGUUUGGACAUACAAAAAAGUGACAAGCAUUUUUCAUUUGAACAAUGUUACAGAGCAUUUAGCCUACAUACAAACAUACAAUCACAUACACUAUCAUUAUACAAGAUAAUUACUAAUGUUCUACACAAUUUGACAUUAAAUCUACAUUGUACAAUAUUUAAAUAGCAUUGUAAGAAAAAAAUACUUAACUUAGUCCACUUUUCUUUCCCAAACAUAUCAAUAAAUGUUCAGCAUUCUCCUAACAGGGAAUUCCCCAUCAUGUAUAUAAUACAAUAAACUGUAGAUGAAACCGUUUGAUUCAUUUCUACACGUGUAAAUUUAUUCACACGUUACAGUGGGAAUCAGUCCCACCGUUUGCUUCCUUAAAUUGGCAAUGCUCAAUUGGUCAAUUACAUUUCAUAAUCACACUCCAAUUUUCAUGAAUGUGAACUCUUCAAACAAAAUACCUGUAAAGAAACCCCAAUUGAAUCUACAUAUUGUUACAGUGGGAAUCAGUCCCACCGUUCGCUUCCUUAAAUUGGCAAUGCUCAAUUGGUCAAUUACAUUUCAUAAUCACACUCCAAUUUUCAUGAAUGUGCACUCUUCAAACAAAAUACCUGUAAAGAAACCCCAAUUGAAUCUACAUAUUAUUACAGUGGGAAUCAGUCCCACCGUUCGCUUCCUUAAAUUGGCAAUGCUCAUUUGGUCAAUUACAUUUCAUAAUCACACUCCAAUUUUCAAGAAUGUGAAUUCUACAGAGAGAAAUCCCUGAUUGAAUCUACACUGAACUUCUUCAAGGGAUUCAUCUAAACAAAUUAGGUCUAUGAACCUCACCUUAUGGUUUGAAUUUACAUCCCUGAUUUUCUUGUUACAUUACCAUGAAAAUUAGACUAUUAUCACUCCAAAGCCAGCCUAUUCCUAUUGUUUAAAUCUAUUUGAUAGUCCAAGUGGCUGAUGAAGGACGCCCCCCCCCUCCCUCCUCCGGGAAAAGUAGAAAAAUUUGAUAUUUUUGUUAGAAAGGCCACCUGAAGCAUGUAAAGAAAAAUUUGCCCCCCCCCUCCUAGUAACAUCAAGUAGUCUGAUGGGUUACACUUCAUAAUUCCGAAGGUUCUUUAUUCCGAAGGUUCGUAAUUCCAAAACACGUAAAUUGCCUAUACCUCGAUUUUCGUUAAUCCGAAAACGUAAAAGGGUUCGUUAAUCCGAACAUUUGUGGCGUCAUUCCAAAGGUUUGAUAUUCCAAAACGAAAUAAGGUUUGAUGUUCCGAAGCUUCGGAAUUACGAAUGUAUGCGGUCUGAUGAACUUUUUUGUGCUUUCAUCAUAUUUUCUCCUCCACAGGGAAAAGUCAGAAAUGUGGUAUGACUUUUGACCUCCUUAUUGAAAUUUUGGUUUCAUUCUACCCAAUCGGGGCACAAAAUUUAUCAAGCAUCGACUACAAUGUAUAAUCAAUCAUAAAAUCAAGCAUACAAUCAAUCGCGUACCUUUGUGUUACAGGACACAGGCUGUCCAUGAUGAUUAAUGCAAUUUAUUG
rnacentral:lncRNA from 1 species